rnacentral:rRNA from 1 species
GAUGAACGUUGGCGGCGUGCCUAAUACAUGCAAGUCGAACGAAGACUGUAGUAAUACUGUCUUAGUGGCGAACGGGUGAGUAACGCGUGGGUGACCUGCCCCGAAGUGUGGGAUAACAGUCCGAAAGGAUUGCUAAUACUGCAUAAUAUCCAAGAGAUUAGAUGCUUUUGGAUUAAAGGAGUAAUUCGCUUCGGGAGGGGCCCGCGUCCCAUCAGCUAGUUGGUAAGGUAAUGGCUUACCAAGGCGAUGACGGGUAGGGGACCUGAGAGGGUGGCCCCCCACAAUGGAACUGAAACACGGUCCAUACACCUACGGGUGGCAGCAGUAGGGAAUAUUAGUAAUGGGCGAAAGCCUGAACUAGCAACGCCGCGUGUGCGAAGAAGGCCUUCGGGUCGUAAAGCACUUUUGUAGAGGAUGAGGAAGGACGGUACGUUUCAGAAUAAGUCUCGGCUAACUACGUGCCAGCAGCCGCGGUAAAACGUACUACUG